UCAUUAAUUAUAUCUUAAAACAGGACUGUUAAGCAGUAUAUGUUUCCCAUGCUGCUGACAAAUUAUCACAACUGAUAAAAAUAGGUCUUGAGAAGAUAUUUAUUUUAGUAAAGACUCUUUCAUAACUCAGCUACUAACAAUUUGUUUUCUUUUAUAUUACUCAAGUUCUGUUGCAUGUAUCAUAUUCUCUUGUUCUUUUUACAGAAAAGGAUUUUCUAAGAGGUAUUCAAUCAAUUUUUUGCAAGCAUCUGUAAAGAAAGUUUCACGAAAACAUCUCAUAUCCUUUCUUUUUUUCCUAUGGAAAAUAAAAUAAACUGAUAGAAUUCAGCCAGAAAUGUAUGUUCAUUUUCUUAUAUCAUCAUUUUAAAUGUACACUACAUUUAAAUGUGCAUUUCUGAGGUAGCUGCUUCCCUUUACAGGUGCUGCCAAUAUUGCAUCAAGAAAUCCUUCCAGAAAGUUUAGUAGCCUUAAAGCCUGUAACAAUUAGUGAUGUAAUAUAAAUAAAUAUAUUACAGGCUUAAAACUUUGUGCUGCAGCCUGGGAUAUUUUUUAUCAGUUUGUUUGUUUAACUGACAUAAAGAGUGGAAUAAGUGGUCCAUCAAUACAUGACAGGCUGAUAGUGAGCAGUCUGAUUAGGAGUAAGAAGAGCAGAACAUUUCAGUAUGAUGAAAUCAGUAUUUAUAUGAUUGCUACGAGAAAAAACAUUUUUGUGUUCAAUAAUUGUUAACUCCAUAGGAAAAAAAAAAAAGAAAAAAAUGAAAGAAAAAAAAUGAGGAGAAAGAAUUUUUGUAUCAGUGUCUCAGCUAUAAAUACAAACCUUGCUCUGAAAGUAAUGCCUCCUAUUUUAUUAUAUUGGCCCACAGUGUCAGAGAUUAGUUUCUGUGGUAUGGAAGUUGAGGUUGAAUCUUCCCAUCAAUAUUCUAUUUUGUUGCCAUGUGACAGAUGGCAGCAGAGGGUCAACCUGACAACAUUUGACAUGGGAUUGCAGAUGAAGCAAAGAUGUGGAAUUGAAUUCCUCCAUGAAGAAAAAAUUGCACCCAUUGACUUUCAUUGAUGCUUGCUGAACAUUUAUGAAGACCAAACAGCAGAUGUGAGCAUACUGAGGUGGUUAGUGGUACAUUUCAAUUAUUAUAGAUGUUUUAGACUUCUGCUAGAAUAUGUUUAUUAAAUAAAUGGUUCGAUGUUCUGCUUAAAUAAAUAUAAAGAAGGAUAUGACUACACAAUGCCAUCUAUAACUGUAUGCCCUACAAAAUCAAAACAAGAAGCACUCCACAGUACAAUGCCUACUGAUGAGCGAACUUCAUAGCCUGACCAGGCCUUUUAAAAUGAUUUGCGUCAGUUGAGAAAUACUGUGUCUAAGAAAUGACAUUUUGGUGUUACUGUACUGAGAAUGGGCUGUGAAGCACUUUUGAUGUCUUUAGCUUCUUACUAACCUCAUUAAAUCUGAUGAUUGGAAAAGACAAGCAUCAUUCAGCCCCAAUGAUUGUUCUGUGUUUUUGUUUUUGUUUUCCAGGAUAUGUCUUGGCAUCUUCUGUGCUCCAUGACACCAUAUGCCAAAGAGGUCUAGUAAUCCUAACAUGCUAUUAGUUGGUGUUUGACAUUUGCUCCGCCAUAGCACUGUCUUCUCAGUGGCAAAGUAAUAUAUGACAUGAUCCUAUGAACCAAAAUAGUAGUCACACAUCCCUUCACUUCACCAGAAGUAUGUGAGAGAGUUCACAAGUCUAGAAGGGAAUAUGUAAAGCAAUAACUCUGCCCGCUUUCUAACAUAAUUUUUCACUUUAUUAAAAGCCAUCUGAGAUGUAUUUCUUAUUUGUUUCUUUGAACUAAUCAUGUAUAACUGUGACAGCUGUGAAAGAUAAACAUUCUUCUUUUUACAGGAAACUUUUAGAGGGAAGAAGUGAGAUCUAUUUACAGUUCAGAUAUAUUGGAUCAUUAUGUCAUGAUGUUACAUUCCAUGACAAAGAGCACACCACAUAAAUUUCUAUGAAUUCUUUGUUUUUGGCUUAAAGCUUGCUUUCUGAGGCAUUUCUUGCGAUAAGACUCUGACUUAUCUAGGAGAUGAGAGGUGGGUGUUGCCAUGUGGCAAUCAACACCACAGUGUGGACAAUUUUACAUUUGAAAGCAUUGCUUUGGAGCUGUUUGCCUUCGGAAGAGAGUGUUCAGGACUGUUUACUGGCAGAUGAUCUGGCCUGUGACAAAUAACUCCAGCUUGCUAUGGGAGACUGGGAGAUGAUACCACUGUAUUCUGUGAAGGCAAGAUACAAGUUGGCACCUCCCUGCUUUCUCUUAUCUGCUGACAAGGCCCAGAAGAUGGGAACAAAAGGAGUUCCUGCUGAGAUCCAAAAGCCAGAAGCUAUCACUCCAAAAGGAGCUGACUGAAUCACUUUGGACUUAUUUAUAAGUUUGUACUGCCAUUGAAAAGUA
ensembl:lncRNA